GGGGGGUNUAGCUCAGUGGUAGAGCGCGUGCU
rnacentral:piRNA from 1 species